UUCUCCUCCAGCAUCUUAUCCUCUCCACCACUCAUUGCCCUCACUCUCCUCUCUCUCUCUCUCAUUUCCCUCUGGCUACCUCCCCUCCCCUCCCAGAUCUGGCGGAGGGGAGGGGCGUCGGCAGUGGCGCAGGAAGAGGGGGCGGUGGCGGUAGCGUCGGCGUUGGCGCGGCCGGAUGGGAGGUGUGGCUCCCCUCCCUCUCCUCUCCCUCAACUCUACUCUCCUCCGCCGCCGGCCACGAUGACGACGAAGCCGACUGCGACGACGACGCUGUCUGGAUCCGCCGCCGCCUGGAUUCAGGGAGGGGAGGCGGCAGCGCAGCCGGAGGGGGUGUCGGCGGCGGCGCUGCCGAACAGGAGUUGCAGAAUCAGAUUGACCCGCACGUCCACAUCUCAUCAAUAUUUUGGACCUGCACUGGAGUAAGCAGAUCAACCAGGCCGUUGUGUUCGUCGACUUAGUCCGUGCCAACACAAAUCUGGUACCAUCGGCCGAGCACGGAUUUUGCGUCAAUAGUUUUUGAAGAUUUGGGGUACAGCAAUAAAGUGUGUGUUCUACUAAAUUCAACCAAGUUGAGUUUUCCAUUUUUAGACCUAGUAUCAAUUUCAUCAACGAUCAAUGAGCAGUACGGGGCCUAAACUCGUCACAAAUGUCAAGGAUACAUCAUUGCUAUAGAUAUUUCCAGUGUAAAACGUUAUCGGUCAAAAAUGAUAGUGGAAGUCUUGUACUUCCCGAUUUCGUACGAAUUUGAGGCAAACAUAUGUGUUGACUAAUAUAAUGGAAUGGACUUCCAUUGUCGAGGAAGUUACCACGUAAA